rnacentral:rRNA from 1 species
CCUACGGGAGGCAGCAGUGGGGAAUUUUCCGCAAUGGGCGAAAGCCUGACGGAGCAACGCCGCGUGAGGGAUGAAGGCCUCUGGGCUGUAAACCUCUUUUAUCAAGGAAGAAGAUCUGACGGUACUUGAUGAAUAAGCCACGGCUAAUUCCGUGCCAGCAGCCGCGGUAAUACGGGAGUGGCAAGCGUUAUCCGGAAUUAUUGGGCGUAAAGCGUCCGCAGGCGGUCUUGUAAGUCUGUCGUUAAAGCGUGGAGCUUAACUCCAUUUCGGCGGUGGAAACUACAAGACUAGAGUGUGGUAGGGGCAGAGGGAAUUCCCGGUGUAGCGGUGAAAUGCGUAGAUAUCGGGAAGAACACCAGUGGCGAAGGCGCUCUGCUGGGCCAUAACUGACGCUCAUGGACGAAAGCUAGGGGAGCGAAAGGGAUUAGAUACCCCUGUAGUCCUAGCCGUAAACGAUGAACACUAGGUNUCGGGGAAUCGACCCCUCGGUGUCGUAGCUAACGCGUUAAGUGUUCCGCCUGGGGAGUACGCACGCAAGUGUGAAACUCAAAGGAAUUGACGGCUGAGAGNGCGACGCGACGACGAGGAGAG